rnacentral:lncRNA from 1 species
UCCAAAGAAACCAAUUCGAGCACAUACAUCGGUUUGUCGAAGCUGCGCGGAGACAAUUCUUCAUUAUUAGCGACGAUUGGCGAGUAAGAAUUGAAUUAAAACACAUUAUAAACGCAAGAUGUAUAUUAUGAAAUGCAAAAGCUAACUCCUUUCUAUUUUCUUCAAAAAGACCACGAGGGCUUGCAGGGGUGGGUAGAUGCCCACCAGUGUCAGAUUGAGGCUUAACAGCCUAGGAUUAGUACUUUGAUGCUCUAAUUGUCUACUCUAUGGACUCAUGGGAUGGUUGCUGACUCAGAUGAUGAGAUGGAGGAUUCAAGAGAGAGUCCUGACGACUUUUAAUUCUUUAACUGCCCC